UACGUAGGUGGCGAGCGUUGUCCGGAUUUACUGGGCGUAAAGCGCGCGUAGGCGGCUUUCUAAGUCCUGUCGUGAAAGGCCGCGGCCCAACUGCGACAGUGCGCGGGAUACUGGGGAGCUUGAGGGCAGCAGAGGCCGGUGGAAUUCCCGGUGGAGUGGUGAAAUGCGUAGAUAUCGGGAGGAACACCAGAGGCGAAGGCGGCCGGCUGGGCUGUACCUGACGCUGAGGCGCGAAAGCGUGGGGAGCGAACCGG
rnacentral:rRNA from 1 species